GCUGGACUUGGUGGUGGGCGCCUGUAGUCCCAGCUACUUGGGAGGCUGAGGCAGGAGAAUGGCGUGAACCCGGGAGGCGGAGCUUGCAGUGAGCUGAGAUCCGGUCACUGCACUCCAGCCUGGGCGACAGAGCGAGACUCCGUCUCGGAAAAAANNNNNNNNNNUUUUUUCCGAGACGGAGUCUCGCUCUGUCGCCCAGGCUGGAGUGCAGUGACCGGAUCUCAGCUCACUGCAAGCUCCGCCUCCCGGGUUCACGCCAUUCUCCUGCCUCAG
rnacentral:SRP_RNA from 1 species